rnacentral:misc_RNA from 1 species
GUUGUUGUUCGAAGUGGAUACUCGUCUGCGAAAUAAGUGUGUUGCCUGGUGUUUGUUUGGAACUGGGAGAUGAAGUCCUCCAGGCUGUUGAUAUCUCGCAUCCGGCUCUGGAAAAACAUCAGCGGCUCGCCGAGUAGUAGACUGGAUAAUUGGAAACGCCACAUUAACCAAGAGGUGGGUGUCAGUUCUUGAACGGCUCUUAUUUGGUCCACAAAUGGUUUGGGUUGCAUGUGACGGUAGGAAUUAUCAAAUUUUCCAAGAUUUUGGAAAGGUUGAGUGCUAUUUACUGGUUCAAUCGGUAUAUAAUGUAUUCUGCUGGCUGGAAUAUUUUCCAUGGAUGUCGCUAGUCUGGAGACUCUUUCCUCACUUGCGGUCCAUUUAUCAUCUAUAGUUUUUAUGUUCUCCUUCACUUCGCCAUAUAAUGUGGUUAUCUUUAGUUGUUGUCCGACUACGGCAUUUUCUAAUACAUCGCAUCUCUCACCUGAUUUCGCCCCCUCCCCCGUUAAGUUCGCUAUACCUAUCAGCACGUCACUUUGUUCUUUAGUUAUUAUUUCCAUUCUAUUGACAUUUUCACCCAUCUUCGAUUCUA